rnacentral:rRNA from 1 species
AAACUUUACAGUGCGGGAAACCGUGAUAAGGGGACACCGAGUCCAGCAACAUUUGUUGGCUGUCCAGGUGUGUAAACUACACCUGUUAGCAAGGCCGGGCAAGACCGGUGCCAGCCGCCGCGGUAACACCGGCGGCCCGAGUGGUGAUCGUGAUUAUUGGGUCUAAAGGGUCCGUAGUCGGUUUGGUCAGUCCUCCGGGAAAUCUGACGGCUUAACCGUUAGGCUUUCGGGGGAUACUGCCAGGCUUGGAACCGGGAGAGGUAAGAGGUACUACAGGGGUAGGAGUGAAAUCAUGUAAUCCCUGUGGGACCACCUGUGGCGAAGGCGUCUUACCAGAACGGGUUCGACGGUGAGGGACGAAAGCUGGGGGCACGAACCGGAUUAGAUACCCGGGUAG